GAUGAAGAACGCAGCGAAAUGCGAUAAUUAAUGUGAAUUGCAGAAUUUAGUGAAUCAUCGAAUCUUUGAACGCACAUUGCGCCCCCUGGUAUUCCGGGGGGCAUGCCUGUUCGAGCGUCAUUUCACCACUCAAGCCUCGCUUGGUAUUGGGCAACGCGGUCCGCCGCGUGCCUCAAAUCGACCGGCUGGGUCUUCUGUCCCCUAAGCGUUGUGGAAACUAUUCGCUAAAGGGUGUUCGGGAGGCUACGCCGUAAAACAACCCCAUUUCUAAGGUUGACCUCGGAUCAGGUAGGGAUACCCGCUGAACUUAAGCAUAUCAAUAAGCGGAGGA
rnacentral:misc_RNA from 1 species